UAUUCCUUGAACCUAUGAUAAGCGAUAGCCUGUGUUAUCGCACUCCCCCCCCCAGUCCGUCAGUAACAGACACCCCUUCAGUACGGCUACUGUCUUCAUAUCCAACUCUCGAGUACUGUCUCAUUCAAGUCUUCUCAUAACUCAGUCACCUUCUAAGUGCUGUCGUAGUUUUGAAGGACAAUGGCCAGUCGCUUCUUUGAGGGAGCAGCUCAUGCUGCUGCUUAUGCAAAGUUUAGACCUCAACCCCCCACUUCUCUUGUGGAUCAAAUCAUGGGUUUCCUCAAAGAAAAGUAUGAAGGACCUGUAAUGGCUGCUGCUGAUGUAGGCUGUGGCUCCGGUCAGAGCACGCAGAUCUUGGCUCCUCAUUUUGCUUCAGUCACAGGUCUGGAUAUUUCAGAAGCUCAGACUUCUGAGGCCAUCAAACUAAAUUCAAGAGCAAAUGUCUUCUUCAAAACAAGUGGUGCAGAGAAGCUACCGUUUCCUGACAACAGUCUACAGCUGAUCACUGCAGGCCAGGCAUGUCACUGGUUUGAUCUGCCACAGUUUUAUAAGGAAGCUGAUAGGGUUCUCGUCCCAGGUGGUGUCCUUGCACUGUAUGGAUACAUGUUUCCAUAUGCCGUCCAUGAAAACCUGACAGAAAAGUUGUUUGAAAUUAUUGAUCACAUGUAUAAAAGUGAACUGAAUGGCUAUGUUCACCAAGGGAGUAAAGAGGUCUACCUAGAGCAGUAUGGGGGAGAAAAGUACAAGUUAAUCUAUGAUGAGCAGUUGGAAGUCAGGUCUAUAAGAAGGAUACAGGUGGUUACUGGGGAGAUGGCCGUAAAAGUGUCGAUGCUGCUUAUAGUGAAGAAAAGUUCAUCAUACCUUACACAAAAUUUACAAGGGAUGAUACUCAUUUCAAGGAUAAAAUGGCAACAGUUGCCGAGCUGACGGGAUACAUCACUACAUGGUCAGGCUACCAAAACUUUAAAUCAAAAAAUGGUGAUGCUGCUGCCCAGAAGAUUCUUGAUGAUUUUCAGAACAGGAUUAUGACUACACUUAAUGUGACAACAAGUCCAGAGGACACCGAAAUCUGCCUUCGUUUCAAGUACUUCCUUUUAAUGGGGCGUAAACCUCCUAGUCAGGACUAAACUAGUUUCACAUUUAAAAAACUUUUUCUAUACUGAAAAUUGGAGAGACGAUUACAAGGCAACCAUCAUAUGGCUGAGGAAGAUGGCUACAGUAAGUAAUAAACUAAUUACAAACAAAAAUGACAAAUUUGUAGUGAACCUUUUCAAGGUAUUUCAUUUACUGUCCCAGAUGUUUUAGUGGCAUCAUUCAAGGCUGGUAAAAUACGGUAAGAUCAUGUACAUUAUUAACUGUCUCGGCUACUGGGAGCACUAUGGUACUCGACCUUUGUAGAGUGCAGAGGAGAAAAGUUUGUAAUACACAAGGCUCUGAACAAUGGUUCCUAGCCUACUCAUAGGAGUUAAUACUGUGCUGACAUUGGAAUACCAGAUAUAGCAACCCAUUCUCCUGUUUAGAUAGAACUUUUGUUACUAUUUGGACUAUUGUGUCUAUAUUGAUGCAAUGGGCAAUUAGUAGAACUUGGUACUAUUCACUUAGUCUGGAAUAAAGCUAAAAAACAAACUUACAUAUUCCUAGGCCAGCACAUGCUGUAUAUGUAUUAUAUUAGGCUUAGGAUGGUAUAGUUAGGUUUUAUUAGCAACAUAAAUACAAAACCUUUUCCAGUUUGUCCAUAUUCAAUAGUACCAAAUUCUACUUCCUAAUUGUCAAUUACGUCACUAUAUAUACGAUGGUCCACAUCAUUAUUAUAAGUACUAUCUAAACAGGAAGAUGAGCUGGAUAAAGCAGAAUGUACACUCCAUGAUAUGUAAAGGAUCAGUUGGUGCUGAUUUAAUAGCAUUAAUGUUUGGCAGCAAAUGUUAAACACACAUCUCAAAAUUAACCAAGGCAAAUUCCUUCAAAAUGUUUAAAAAAUAUGCGGUUCUUGGUAUUCAGGUUUGUGUGCUGCAAAUUCCAUUAUAUAAAAGCAGGUUAACAACAAGCAGGAUAUAAAAUGUGUAAUUUAGUAUCAGACUGGAUAGUUGAGGGUGGUUAAAGAUGGACAUUGUGAUGCUUACUCCAGAAGAACUCCAUCAUUGUUGUUGUUAUAGUUACAUGUGUUUAAAUACUUGGGAUAAGCAUGUGAACAUAGUAGUGCAAAUGGAAAAUGUAGGAAUAAGGGGAAUAUAAUUUGUUUCAUAUUCAUAUUAAUUUUUCCUCUGGUAUGGGGGGAAUACACUAAAUUCCUGAAAGUAUACAAGUUUCCUCAACAUUGCACAUUGGGUUUUUGUUAGCGGUCUUGUGGGAAAGGUUAACUUAUUCCAAGACAACCUAUUUUUUUUUUUAGUUCGACAUGAUGUAUUAAAUUUUCAUGGUAGCUCAAUUAAUAUAUAAGAA